AAUUAUAUACUAAAUUAACGAUAUUAAUCAUGGAAAUAAUUUCUAUUGAAGGGGAUGGAAAAUUCUAUUUUGACACUACAUUCUUAUACCCACACUAUAUGUUAAUGUUAACAAAUAUGGUGGACAAUGACAUUCAUAAUUUUAAUUUUUCUACAUCUUUCUUUCUCUUUCUUCAAAACAACUUUGAUUAAGGGUGCAUAAAACUUGGUUAAUACAAUUUAUAGUUUGGUUAAUAUGUGACUUGACAUUAAAAAGUAGCCUUAAGUGGAAAAACGAAGUUGGUUAAUUGAGUGAAAUAACUAGGUUAAUAUAGUUCAUAUUUGGGUUAUUGAGUGUCAUGACGCUGUGAAUAAGAUCUUUCUUAAGAACUUGACUGGAUUUUGAUGAAGAAAACAAUGUUAGCAAAAAGAAAAAUAUCAACGAUCAAAAGAAAAUGACAAAUAUCAUUAAAAUUUAAUUUAAGCAGAUGUCUUUAUCUUUGAUAUAUCACUUUUUAGUUCACAUUGUUGGUGUAAGCCCUAGAGGCCAAUACAUUUUGGUACUUGUAUCUAAUAAGAAAAGGCAUUCUCUUUAUUAUGGUUGAUUAAUAAAGUCCCUGGAAUAGAUAGUUCGUUUAAUGUAUUAAGUGUGACUUAAUCAUGAGAACACAUUAAACAUAAGGACACUAUUCCUAAAGUAUCCGUGUAGUCGAGCUUUAGUGUGAAGUGGGAUAACAUUAAAGCAUUAGACUAUUAUGUUUGUAGACUGAUGAUCAACAUCUCAUGGAUCAUGGAUAAGAGUAUCAAGUCUAAACAUAGGUAUGAAUAUUAGGAGUAAUAUUACCGAUUGACCCGCUAUGAGAAUACUAUUAGAAAGUUAUGCAAAGUGUCAUAAGUUAUUCUCAUGGUGAUAAAUAGUGUAUUCCAUCUUUCGGACCUGAAACACUAUGAUCCUAGAUUUGUAGAGUCGAGGCUUUUAAUUGCUGACCAACGUUUGCGUAACUGGAUAACCAUAAGGACAGUUGAUGAGUACUUCACGAAGCUAUGCUGAGGGACAGAAGUGACCUAUAUGGAAUUUGCCCAUCCUGCAUAAAGGAAAUGUCUAUGGCCCAAUAUGAACUGGACAAGGGAUGAACGGUCUAUGCGCUUGUGUUCAAUAUAGACAUAAGGGUAAAGGGUAAUUAUACACAUAAUGAUAUCACGAACGAAUUGUCAGAUCAAUGCAUUUUCGUCUUGGGUAGGCAGUAUGUUGGCUAGAUACCGCUCACGUAUUUAUGUUAAUACAUGAAUUCUAAUUAAUGCCAACGCGCCCGAAACCUACAGGGUCACACAACAAAGGACGGAUUGAUGAGAGAUAGAGAACUAAGGAAUACGUAAGGUACGGUGCCCUUAAGUGAAUUAUAGAACAUCGUAAGGUACGGUGUACUUGAGUAGAAUACGAAAUAUUGUAAGGUUACCCAUGGGCUUUAAGUGAUUUUGGCAUAUUAUAAGAUAUGGGCCAAAAUUACACUUAAAGUGGGCUUUUAGCUUGAAGCCCACACAAGUGGUUCUAUAAAUAGAACCCUUGUGCAGAGCAUUUCAUUGCCGUUGCAUUAUUUUCGUUAUUCAAUCACUCUCUCUCUCUCUCACUUAUUCUUUGCGUUUUUCCUUUUUUUAGUUUAUUUUUUUUUUUUUGUUUAUUUGUUUUCAGCGUCUUAACUCCCUUGAAAUGUUAUCCCGGUUUUUUUUACUCAAAGCUUCAUUUCGUACAGGCUAGCACUGAAGACUGAAGGAAUCCGUUCGUGUGGACUGAGGUAGAGACGUAUGUCAUCGGUUCAACGAUUGUGAUCGCUUUGUGGUCUGCAUCAAAGGUUUGAUCGUCCACAAGAGAUCUGCACAAAGGUUUCGAUAUUCACAAGAGGUAAAUAUUCUAUCACUGAUCAUGACCAUUCGUAAGGAUCUCUAAAGGAUGAAAAUUUUUAAUUUCCGCUGCGUUUUUGACCGCAAUUCUCCUCACACAUAUCACUUAAAGUCUCAGGAAAAUAGCAUAGAAUUAAAAGGUAAAAUGUUUUUCCAAGUUAAAAAAGGUAAAACCACUUAAAUAGACUUUAAAAUUAUGUUUGCAAGAGUUAAACACAAUGGAAUCAAGUUACUAGAUAUAUGUAAGCGAUUAACAUGAUUUACAAAGUGUUUUCAAGCAAAUUCAUGUGCCAAUUUUGAUUAUCACGUGUGGUGUAAUCGAUUACCUGUCAACAAAUUUAAAAUAUUUUCAAUUAGAAACAACAUGUAACCGAUUACCAUAUUUUUUGUAACCAAUUACAUCUUGUUGGGACACGGUUGUUUAUGAACCGUGCUCAUGUUUAAGCAUCUCUUAUUGUUCACGAUAUCUUUCCAAAGUGAUAUAUUGUUUAUGACAUUUCUUAAACAUAUAAAUAUUGAUUUACCACUUUCUGAAAUUGAUUAAGAACUUGAAACAAAUCUAUAAAAUCAAAUAUCAUUUUCAAUGGUUUUCAUAUUCUAAGCUUUUAAACUUUGAUUUAAACUUUUGGAAAAACCAGGGAAAGUCUAAGCAUUAAUGAGUAUUUAAUCUGAAAAAUGAUAUGAUAAGACGCUCUAAUCCUAGUUAGAUUUGGAAGAUUCUCACUGUAUUAAAGUUCUUCAUUUUUCUUAGAUUAGUGUGAUGGUGGGCUUAAUCUCACUAGGUGUUUGGUGAGAGGAUGCAUCAUAGUAUUUUGAUGAUUGUGAACAAAAUCCUUUGAGUUAUGGAUUCAGAGUCCCAUCAUAGUAAUUACGUGUGGUGUUGUGUAAACAAGGAAGUGAUGCAGCUUUCUUGAGUGAGUAUUAAGGAUUAGUUUGAGAGGAGUCUUUGGUGUGCAGACUUCCUAACUAAAUGUUCUUGAUAGCUAGUGAAAAUCUCUAAAUCAGACAGGAGGACGGCUGGACCAUAUGUUCAGUUCGCGAAAGAGAAUUAUGAAUAAUAUUGUGUGUUUUCUCUCUUCCUUAACUUUUACAUUUCUUUUAUUUUCCAGCACUUAUUAUUUAUUAUUUAUGAAUUAUAAUCAUCUACUCAAAUUUUAUGAAAUUAAGUGACUUAAACAUCAUAGAAAACUUCGACAAUUAUUAAACUAAAUGCACAUCACUUGUGCUUAAUCAAAUUAAUGAUACUAGAUUCAACAACAAAAUAAUUAAUGAAUAUAAUAAUAAUAAUAAUAAUAAUAAUAAUAAUAAUAAUAAUGAUUAUUAUUAUUAUUAUUAUUAUUAUUAUAAUUAAUAGUUUCAAUAUUUAAUAAAAAAAUUGAUUAAUAAUAAUAAUAGUAAUUUAGAUUAAACAAUUAACUAUUUUAUGUGAUUUUUCUAAUUAUUAAUGGAUAUGGAUACCUGAGGGUACGAGGUACCAUCAAAUCCGUAUGUGUAUGGUAAGAAAACGAGUAACUUAAUAUCCGUUUAUUUUACCUUGGAAUGCAGUUAAGCUAUGCAAAUAAACUCGUUAAUGAUUAGUAAAAGUAGUAAAUAAAUUUUAAAUAAAAUAAAUGAUUAAUAAUAUAUAGCCUUAGCAAUUAUAGUUUUGAUAUCUACAUUUUUUAUGGAUUCACGAAAUUAAUCCUUCCUAUUUUAAAUUUAAACAGUUCUUGAUCCUCAGCUAUGGUUUUNAUUCACUUUGUCUUUUUUAUCAAAUAAUGAUACUAGAUUCAACAACAAAAUAAUAAUAAUAAUAAUAAUAAUAAUAAUAAUAAUAAUAAUAAUAAUAAUAAUGAUUAUUAUUAUUAUUAUUAUUAUUAUUAUAAUAAUAGUUUCAAUAUUUAAUAAAAAAAUUGAUAAUAAUAAUAAUAGUAAUUUUAGAUUAAACAAAUUAAUAUUUAUGUGAUUUUUGCUAAUUAUUAAUGGAUAUGGAUACCUGAGGGUACGAGUACCAUCAAAUCCGUAUUUGUGUAUGUAAGAAAACGAGUAACUUAAUAUCCGUUUAUUUUACCUUGGGAUAUGCAUUAAGCUAUGCAAAUAAACUCGUUAAUGAAUUAGUAAAAGUAGUAAAUAAAUUUUAAAUAAAAUAAAUGAUUAAUAAUAUAUAGCUUAAAUUAUAGUUUUGAUAUCUCAAUUUUUUAUGAUUCACGAAAUUAAUCCUCCUAUUUUAAAUUUAAACAGUUCUGAUCCUCAGCUUAUGUUUUUUGUUUAUAGAAAAUCGAUUAGUUAUUUAUAUUUUAACUUAUAUUUUUAAAAAUAGAUUCCUAAUAAAUUUAUAUACGGUGUUUUUCAUGUUUAACAAAAAGAACGUGUCAUUUAAAAAUGAAAACAUCUUUAACUUCAAAUAUAAAAGUAUGAGAAGGAGACUAAAAAUGUUUAAAUUUAAAAUAGAAAGAUCAAUUUCGUGCAUGAAAUCAAAAUUGUAAUUAAAUUAAAUACACGAUGAUGAAAUUGAUUAAUUACACAAUCCUAUAUAUAUAUUUUUGUUAUAAAUUCAUUUGUAAAUUUUUUAUAUAAAUAAUAUAUUCUUAUAAAAAAUUUAAAAAAAUAUUAUUUAUUAUAUAAAAAUAUGAAUAAUGCUAACAUGUGUCUUUAGAAUAUAGGUUAAGAACUAAAUAAAAAAAUUUAUCUCAAACAUUGUGUAUUAAAUUUAUUAUAAAUAUUAAGAUAAAUUUUAUAAUUGUUAAUUCCUUAGCAUGUGUCGUACCAUUACCCUAUAAAUAUAAUAACCAAAAUACACUUUAUAUAUAUAUAUAUAUAUUCUGCACCAAAGGUUUCGAUCAUCACAAGAGGUAAAUAUUCUAUCACUGAUCAUGACCAUUCGUAAGGAUCUCUAAAGGAGAAAAUUUUAAUUUCCGCUGCGUUUUGGACCGCAAUUCUCCUUCACACAUAUCACUUAAAGUCUCAGAAAAUAUCAUAUAAUUAAAAGGUAAAAUGUUUUCCAAGUUAAAAAGGUAAAAACCACUUAAAUAGACUUUAAAAUUAUGUUUUUCAAGAGUUAACACAAUGGUAAUCAAUUACUAGAUAUAUGUAAUCGAUUACAUGAUUUACAAAGUGUUUUCAAGCAAAAUUUCAUGUGCAAUUGAUUAUCACGUGUGUGUAAUCGAUUACCUGUCAACAAAUUUAAAUAUUUUCAAAUAGAAACAACAUGUAACCGAUUACCAUAUUUUUGUAACCAAUUACAUCUUGUUGGGACACGUUGUUUUAUGAACCAGUGUCAUGUUUAAGCAUUUUAAUUGUUCACGAUAUCUUUCCAAAGUGAUAUAUUGUUUUAUGACAUCUUCUUUAAACAUAUAAAUAUUGAUUUACACUUCUGAAAUUGAUUAAGAACUUUGAAACAAAUCUAUAAAAUCAAAAAUAUCAUUUUCAAGUGGUUUUCAUAUUUCUAAGUUUUGAAACUUUGAUUAAACUUUUGGAAAACCAGAAAGUUCUAAGCAUUAAGUGAUAUUAAUCUGAAAAAUGAUAUUGAUAAGACGUCUCUAAUCCUAGUUUAGAUUUGAAGAUUCUACAACUUAUAUAAAGUUCUUCAUUUCUUAAGAAUUAGUGUGAUUCUUAAUUCACUAGUGUUUGGUGAGGAUCAUCAUAGUAUUUGAUGAUUGUGAACAAAAUCCUUUGAGUUAUGGGAAUUCAGAGUCCAUCAUAGUAUUUAGUGUGUGUUGUGUAAACAAGGAAGUGAUGAGCUUUCUUGAGUGAGUAUUAAGGAUUAGUUUGAGAGGAGUCUUGGUGUGAGACUUCUAACUAAAUUUCUUGAUACUAGUGGAAAAUCUCUAAAUCAGACAGAGACGCUGGACAUAUGUUUCAGUUCGCGAAAGAGAAUUAGAAUAAAUAUUGUGUGUUUUUCUCUCUUCCCUUAACUUUUACAUUCUGCUUUUUAUUUUCCAGCACUUUAUUAUUUAUUAUUUAUGAAUUUAUCAUCUACUCAAAUUUUAUGAAUUAAGUACUUAAACUCAUAAAACUUCGACAAUAUUAAAUAAAUCACAUUCACUUUGUCUUUUUUAUCAAAUAAUGAUACUAGAUUCAACAACAAAAUAAUAAUAAUAAUAAUAAUAAUAAUAAUAAUAAUAAUAAUAAUAAUAAUAAUGAUUAUUAUUAUUAUUAUUAUUAUUAUUAUAAUAAUAGUUUCAANNNNNNNNNNNNNNNNNNNNNNNNNNNNNNNNNNNNNNNNNNNNNNNNNNNNNNNNNNNNNNNNNNNNNNNNNNNNNNNNNNNNNNNNNNNNNNNNNNNNNNNNNNNNNNNNNNNNNNNNNNNNNNNNNNNNNNNNNNNNNNNNNNNNNNNNNNNNNNNNNNNNNNNNNNNNNNNNNNNNNNNNNNNNNNNNNNNNNNNNNNNNNNNNNNNNNNNNNNNNNNNNNNNNNNNNNNNNNNNNNNNNNNNNNNNNNNNNNNNNNNNNNNNNNNNNNNNNNNNNNNNNNNNNNNNNNNNNNNNNNNNNNNNNNNNNNNNNNNNNNNNNNNNNNNNNNNNNNNNNNNNNNNNNNNNNNNNNNNNNNNNNNNNNNNNNNNNNNNNNNNNNNNNNNNNNNNNNNNNNNNNNNNNNNNNNNNNNNNNNNNNNNNNNNNNNNNNNNNNNNNNNNNNNNNNNNNNNNNNNNNNNNNNNNNNNNNNNNNNNNNNNNNNNNNNNNNNNNNNNNNNNNNNNNNNNNNNNNNNNNNNNNNNNNNNNNNNNNNNNNNNNNNNNNNNNNNNNNNNNNNNNNNNNNNNNNNNNNNNNNNNNNNNNNNNNNNNNNNNNNNNNNNNNNNNNNNNNNNNNNNNNNNNNNNNNNNNNNNNNNNNNNNNNNNNNNNNNNNNNNNNNNNNNNNNNNNNNNNNNNNNNNNNNNNNNNNNNNNNNNNNNNNNNNNNNNNNNNNNNNNNNNNNNNNNNNNNNNNNNNNNNNNNNNNNNNNNNNNNNNNNNNNNNNNNNNNNNNNNNNNNNNNNNNNNNNNNNNNNNNNNNNNNNNNNNNNNNNNNNNNNNNNNNNNNNNNNNNNNNNNNNNNNNNNNNNNNNNNNNNNNNUAUAUAUAUAUAUAUAUAUAUAUAUAUAUAUAUAUAUAUAUAUAUAUAUAUAUAUAUAUAAUGGCGCGUGUUUCAAUUCUCAUUUUUGAUAAUUUUUUUAUAUUCAUAAAAUCACGACUUAAGUAAAAAUUCGACUAUGACAAGUGAAUUUAAUACAUAAGUUGUUUACAUGAGAAACAGAAAUGAUUACUUAAGAGGUUUGCAAGUCGAUUAUUAGAGUUUAGGUGGAUUUUAGAGAAUAUUGUUAAGUUUUGAUAUAUUUGAAAUUAUAAGAAAAAUAAUAUACUAUAUUUCAUAUAAUAUUAUAUUAUUUGUUUAAUUUUUUUUAAAAUAUUACAAUUAUAUCAAAAUAUAAAUAAAGUCAUAAAAAAUCAUCUAAAAAUCAAGUUGCAAAUAGACUUUGAAGUUUUAAAACAACUUAAAUAUUUAAUCAUCGAUUACUCUAAGUAAACGGUGGGACCUUAUAAGACUUAGCAAUUAGGAACUGAAUACUCUUUUUUUUUCAAACGAAACAGUUGAAAACAUUUAUGUUGAUCCAACGCGUCAUUGCAUGGUUAAGAAGUUGUUCUUAAUUUAAAGCGUUCUCAUACUGAUUCUAAAGUUCUUAACCUUGCCAUUGGCAUUUGCUACUAUAUAAACCCUAGUUUCACUUCUCUUUCUCCAUACAAAAUAACUUCAAGUUUUUUAAGUUUCUAGCCAAAAGCACAAGAUGGCUUCAAGUUCUAGGGCUUUUCUUUUUGUGCUUCUUGGUGCUCUUGUUUGUAAUAGCAUUGAUGCAAGGAAGCUUCGGAGUGAUAAAGGUUUAAGGGAUGAAAAGAAUUUUUAUCAUCCAGGGUUCGGUGGAGGUGCAGGAGGUGGUGGUGGUUUUGGUGGCGGUGGUGGUAGUGGAGGAGGGUUAGGUGGUGGUUCAGGAAGCGGAUUUGGUGCAGGUGCCGGUGCUGGUGGUGGUUCUGGUGGUGGACUUGGAGGUGGAGGUGGUUUUGGUGGUGGUGGCGGUAGUGGAGGCGGGAUAGGUGGUGGUUCAGGAAACGGUUUCGGUGCUGGUGGUGGUUCUGGUAGUGGACUCGGAGGUGGAGGAGGUUUUGGUGGUGGUGGCGGUGGUGGAUUUGGCGGAGGAGGUGGUGUUGGUGGAGGAUCAGGGUUUGGAGGAGGAUCAGGAUUUGGAGGUGGUGCUGGUGGUGGUAGUGGACUAGGAGGAGAUGGUGGAGGAGGAUUUGGAGGCGGUGGUGGUAGUGGAGGUGGUCUUGGUGGUGCUGGAUCCGAUGGAGGAUUUGGUGGUGGUGCUGGUGGAGGAGUUGGAGGUGGAUUUCCAUGAAUAUAACGAAGAAAAUGAAUGGUUGCUACUUGCAUGUUUUUGGUGUAUGAAUAAAGCAGAAGGCUAUAUAGAUUAUUAUAGUGGGCGUGGCAUUACAUGAUAAAGAAUUAUAAAUAUUGUUAAAUUACAUGUACAUCAUCUUUUGUGUUUUUGAAUAAUGGUGUUGUUUGAUAAAAUCUGUGGAUGAGACUAUCUAUUUUCUCUAUUUCAUAUCAAUGCUAAUAAUUCUAGAAUAGGGUUCUAAAAAUUGAUAUUUCAUAACUUGAAAUAAACAUACUAUAUAAAAGGAUUCAAGGCUCAUUUUUCUUUAUCGAUUUUAGUGAAAAUUAUUAUUAAAAUGUGACCCGCAACUGUAACACCUUAAAUAAAAUGUGUAUAGAUCUAUAAUAUUCGAAAUGUUAUAACAUGGUACAUCAUAUAUUGUCUAGAUGACAUCCAUAUACAUGUAUGAAAUAAGGUCUAUACCAUAAUAUAUAUUCAAUGAGAUGUUUAAUACAAGAUACUGAAGACAAAAAGUACACAACGGAAAACUCAAAAUAGAUAAUACGGUCUUCAACUUCUUCAGAGCAUCUUUCCUUUUCCUUUACCUGCUAAUUGUUCAUCUGAAAUAUUAAUCAUGUGGUGGGAUACAACUAUCUCAAUGGAAUCUUAACUAAACCAUAUGUCUGUUUGACUAAUGGGUUUUCCCCAGAACUAUCACUACAAUAGGGGUCCUACCUCUCACGUAAUCAGUGACUCUAUCUAAUCUCUCAGGUACGGAUUACAUUUACGGGCAAGUCAUACUGCUAGUCGGUCUUUCACAAAUAUAUUCCCACUAUAUCUUCCAAGAUUAAUCUCAUUGUGACCCUCCAAUUAGGAGUGAAUAGACACAAAUACAUACAUCUAUAUAUGCUCGAGUUUACUCCACUAGAUAAUCCUAGUAAAAGCCUAUGGUUCCUCGCCUAAUCCAGUUAUUUCCAUUAUACAAGCACACAUACAUCAAAUAUUAUUUAUUGGAUUAAAAGUACUUAAUCAACUUAUGCUGUUUACAUGUUAUGACAAUUUCGUUACAUUCAAACAUAAUACUCGUGUUAUUACCUCGAAACAUAGCACCCAAGCUAUCAGAGUUUCCUUAUCCAUGAAAGAUAACUCAUAAACCAAACUCAAACGAAACACAUAAUGCUAUGGUCCCAAUUAUCAUUGUUUAUAUAUAUAUAUAUAUAAUAUAAUAUAUAUAUAUAUAUAUUAUAUAUAUAUAUAUAUAUAUAUAUAUAUAUAAUAUAUAUAUAUGGCAAUACACAAGCAAUUCAAGUUUAUCAAUUAAUGUACAAGGAAAGAGGUAAACAAGUGAUAACAACAAUUUUGAGACAUUAAUAAAAGAAAGUGGAGAAAAGGAAGAGAAUGGGGCGAGAUAGGGUAAGGAAGAAAGGAAAAUGGCUUGAUCAUCCUUGGAAACUCCUUGCCUGUGUGAAAUUCUUGAGAAAUUGAAGUGAAUCAUCAAUCCAUCCUCCUCCUCAUCAUCUUUUGAUAUUUUUAUAAUCAAGUUAAUGUCGCAAAAUAUUAAAGUUAAAUAUUUAAUGUAAUCGCAUAAUACCUUAUGCAAAAUAGUGGCAAAUUUGAAUUAAGAAGAAUUGUGUCACUACCACUAUUAUAAAAAAUACAUUUUAUUUCGACUGGAAAUAGGAUUUUACAUUGGUUUUAAAAACGAGGUAAUAAAAAUGUUCACUUAAUCAUUAUUAAAAAUUUCUCUUUUAGUGAUCAUAUUUUCGGUCACAAAAGCAUAAAAAGUCGGUCACUAUUUGAUUUAACUACCAAUAAAACGACAUUCUUUUUUCGGUUGGAAAUGUACUAAUCCCUAACUUGUGUGAAGAAAUCUGCAACCAAUAUUUUGUGACCGAAAUAGUGGCUUCUUUUAGUGACCGAACACGUCAGUCACUGUUUCAGCCACUAUUCCAGAAUUAAAAAUAGAUCCAUUCAAUGACAAUAAAAGCACAAUUUAAUCAUUUCCUUCAAACUGAAUUAUAAAUAAUAACUAAAUGCAAUAUUUUUUUAUUUUAGCCACUUAACUACACCAUGAUUCUUACCUCCAAGUCUUGGCAUUUUUAUAAAUGUAACAAUUAAAAUAAACAUGAAUCCCACAUUUAUAAAUAUAAUAAUUAAAUAUAAAUAUGAAUGAUACAAUAGAUUACAUGUUAAUUUGUGAUUUUUGACACUGCACUAAAACCCAUUAAAUUUGGUUUGAAAGAGUCUCAGAGAGCAUAUUCAUAAGAUUAUGAUCACUCUCUCUUCAAAACAUGUCCAAAAUCUCAAAAAGGGUUGUAGUGAAUUAACAUUUCGAUAUGAAGGUGUGAGUAAAAGUGAUGAGUUGAACUCACUUUUCCGGUGUUUUGGGACUUAGUGUGUUUUAGGUCAAAGACUAAGCAAUUUAGAGACAUGCCGACACACAUGAAGUUCGUUAGGGAAACCCCUCGACAAGGGUGUUAAAGGCUUGAGACGGUUUUUACAAUAAGAGAAGUUAGACACAGUUUAAGACUAACACGUGGAAGCAUAUUGAAAACAUAAGUCCGUGUAAUAUGAUAUGUGUUGAUUUCUAGGGUAGUAACCAUUAUCGACAGUUAUUGAUGUGUGUAGUAUUAUAGUUGAUUUCAUUCAUAUAGUAAAGAUUCACAAGUUUUACCAUUAUUCCCUAAAGAACUUGAGUAUCCAAGUCACAUAGAGAAAAUAGUUUGUGAGGAAACAUAUAUGAAUUCGCGUCCCUUUUAAAAUCUUGUACUCAAAGUAUUUUUGUUUAAGUUACUUUCAUUGUUUCUUUGUAUUAUUCUUAUUGGAAGUUCUUUACAGUUUCUUUCAUAUUCAAACAUCAAUAUCAAAGCAAAAACAUAUUUUCUCAAAUAUUUUGCACAAUAUGUCCUAGGACUUUUUUGAGUUUAAUCCUGUAAGUGAACGGAAACUUUGUGAAAUUAUUGACCAAAAAUAAUGGUAAACACAUUUUCACGCCAAGUGGGACCAUUUUGUGCAAAAUUUAAAUUUGUAGAAUGUUUUAUGUUCUUACUAUCUAAUUUGUUCUUCAUACAUGAAAUGUUUUUAAUGUCUGAGUGUGUAUGCGUGUGAGGAGUGGCAAACUCUUGUUGAAAUGGCAAGUCCAAAAAAUUUUUCCCUUCCCAUAACGAUUCUCCAGAGACUAGAGAACAAUCAUCAAAAUGACGAUUGGUGGUGCGGGAACUUCAACUUCCGUUGGAGUAACCGCUCAUGUUAUAAGCUAAGACACAAACCAUUUGUCAUGCUGCGAAAAAUAUCUGAACGCAUCGUACGCUCAAAGAUACAACAAAGUCUCCAUUAAACUUUAUUUAUUCCCGAAGGAAAGGGAAAAUAUCGAUAAAACUCAGGGGAAAAUAAAAGGGUAAGGAAGUCGAUUAUGCAAGAGAAAGGUAUUAUCACCCUUACAUCCGUUGUACUCGACAGGAACCAUUUUGAUUGUUCUUUACGCUGAUGGCGUUAUUAUCUAAAUGUUACUUGCGAAAGAGGAAAAUAAGUUUAUAAUUAGUGUGUUUGCUGAGGAUUCGAACCAUCGUGUCUACGUAUUCUCAUAGUACAAUGAGAAAUCAGGCUCCUUUGUUUGUGGUAGAAAUACGGAUGUGUUGGUUGCUUUUAGGUAACAUUAAUUAUCGUAUCCUAGAAGUAUGUAGACGUUAGCUGAGUUGAUCCUAGUUUGGAUGCUUCAAGCUUUUAGUCUGACUGCUAAGGAACGAAUUUAAAAAUCUUUUAUGAAAAAAAAUUAUUGUUUUGAAAAAAUAUUUAAGUGUCAAAAGAAAAUAAAGAGUUUAUUGAACAGAAAAACAACUUGCUUGAAUUGAAAGUGUUGUUUGAAUUGAAACAGUGUGCCUUAAACUUGACAACUUUAAACUUAUUACCACCUUCGUAAUAAUUUACAAAAUAUCGCAUGCCUCCUUCACUGAUUCAACAUGAGAAUUUAAUCGAAAUUCUCCGUAUCUACUGCAGAUUGAAUACAAUGCAACUUGCAAUCUUUCUUCUUUUGUAUCCUUGUGACUAACUCUUUGAGCGUCGUUUGCGUUGUGAGCAAGCUUAGGAACACCAUUAGUAACCACUUCUAGGUUUUCAUGAAAACCGAAUAAUGAUUGCACCUAUUUACUCCAUCGGUUGCAAUUUUUUCCAUUAAGAAUUGAAAGAGAAUUGAGAAUACUAUUAAUAUACCAUUCAUAUUUACAGCAAACACGAUUCACGAUCCCUGAAAACACGACCACCGAUGCACAGUUCUUGAUUCACAAUCAAGAGUGAGGAAGCAACCAGAGAGAGAAUAAAAAUAAUUGCAUUGAAUUUGUAUAAUGAAAAUUAUCUACACUUAUAUUUAUAUAUAAUAGGCUACUUAUAACCUAAAUAGCUAACAUUAAAGUAAUCCACAACAAAUAACUAACUUGAAUUAUAUCACAUGACCUACCUAACUAAUUAGUUAAACUUGUUUUUAUAAUGGCGCGUUUCAAUUCUCAUUCUUGGCAUUUUUUAUACAUAUUUUUCUAUAUUUAUAAAAUCAUGACCAAAAUAAAAGUUGACUAUAACAAGUGAAGAACCGAAGUACACCACUAAUCUCUAAACUCGCCACGAAUGCCAAGGUCACUACAACUCAUCGGUAACUUCAUAAUAAUUAUUGAUCUUAUAUUUAUAUAAAGAUAUACUUUUAAGAUUUAAUUUGAUUUAUUUUUUAAACUAAGUCAUGUGUUAAAGUCUACUUGUCUAUAUGUGUAUUUCAUAUCUUACGAUAUACCUAUGCUCUAAUAUGUGUAUCACUUGCUUCCAUAAGACCUUAGACAGCGCUUUUUUUAGCCUUAGACAGCGCUUUAAAGCGCUGUCUAAACCUCCGUCGCUAAAGGUUUAGACAGCGCUUUUUUAAAUCUUAAAAGCGCUCUCUAAGCCCCCCCUUAGACAGCGCUUUGGCCAAAAGCGCUUUAUAAAGACCUCUUAUUUUAAAAUUUAGGUAUACCUUAGACAGCGCUUUUGAAAAGCGCUGUCUAAGCCCCACCCCCUUAGACAGCGCUUUGGCCAAAAGCGCUUCUAAGACCCUUCUUUUUAAUUUUUUAGGUAUACCUUAGACAGCGCUUUUCAAAAAGCGCUGUUCUAAGCCACCCCUUAGACAGCGCUUUUUCCUAAAGCGCUUUCUAAUCCCCCCCUUAGACAGCGCUUUUGUAAAAAGCGCUGUCUAAGGUAUACGAAAAUUUUUGAAGCUUUUGUUUUAAACCACAUUUUUUCUAGGUUUAUUAACCAGAAUUUCUACCUGUUUUCAACCAGAUUUUGACAGACAAUUAUCACAUUUUAUAUAUGCCAUUUUGGCCUUUUUUCUACCAAUUUUUGGCUAACAAUAUAUAUAUAUACCAAUUCAAACCAAUUUGCCUUAAAUGUAUCAAAAUAUAUUACAAAUUUAUGUACACAUUUACAAGUCAUACAUAUACUACAAAUGUACACAUUAAUUACACAAAUUUAUGACAACAUCUGCCUUGCUAUUUACAUCCGAUUUCCCAUCAUCACCCUCCUUAUACCGAUCAUUUUAUUUAACUGGUUCCAGUCCUCUUCACUGAAAUUGAAUUCCUCGGUUUCCUCUUUAGGAGAGUUACCGUUCCUAACAGUGUAUGUGAUUAUAGGUGAGCAGCACAGUCAAAACUAAAGUAAAAUCCAAAUUAAUGGCUGAAAUAUUAAAUUGAAAGUAUUUCUAGAAAGGACUCCACAUCAUCCAAAUACCUUGUUAUGCCUUCACUGAAGAUAUUUCAUUACCCAGAAUACGCGUUUUCUCCUGACUUAGGUCAGUUUCUCUGUAUAGUUUCAAAGUGAUUCAUAACCGAGCGGUUAGAUUUGGUUGCCCGUUUCAUUACAGCACGUAAACUGCCUGCCAACAUUAAAAAAGUCAUCAAAAGAGAAUACAUAAGAGAUUCCAUAUGUUCAAAAUUUCUAAUGAUGCUGCAGCGAACCCUUCUUAUAUCAGGUGGAAGAAGUGGAGUAUUUCUGUUUUCUAAGAAAGCCUGGAAUCGCCUGCUUGCUUCAUCCAGUGUCAGAUCAUGUCCAAAUUCAGCAAGGGAAGUCAAAAUUCUCCUCUCAACAACGCAUCAUCAUGAGUUUCUCCUGGUUUUGGAUCCCAACCAAGCCUCCUGCAAAGCAAUAUAACAGGAAAGUUGUAGCAGAAAUACUCUAAUUCCUUAAAAAAUCGUAUCGCAAUAAAACCAACUUACUCUGCAGAGUACUGGAGAACAUUAAUAGAAACUGUUUGAAAUAAUCUAGCAAGUCUGGAACUGCAUCAGCUGCAAUAUUUUGAACUUUAGAACUUAUCUGUAAAACAAGAGAACUAAAAUUAGAUCCAAUAAAUAACCUAUGUAACUAAUGAGCAAUAUUGGGAAGAUAGCAUUACUGAUAUCAGGUUAGAGAGACAGAUAUAAUCAUCUUCCUCCCUAUAAGCUGCCAUCAAGUUAAGCAAGGAGGUCAAUGAUUCUUUGCAGCAUUACAAAGUGCAUAUGUAUCAUCCAAAUUCCUGUCAAAGUAGUAACUCACAAAUUAUCAGUAUUUUCCUCUUCUACCAUUGGAACUAAAUUGUUAAGAGAUUAUCUAAUUUACCAAACCGUCUGAUGGAGAUAAUAUUUUUUUCUCUAUUGCAUAUCUAAGUUUAGCAGCAAGCAACUCAUCAUAUUUCACCCUGUAGAAACCAGCCUGCUCCACAUUAAUUUUAAUCCAAGAUUUGCUGUCUUCGGUAAUCGGGGAACGAGUAACUCUUUAACAUCACGUGUUUCAGAUUUUGUUUGGAAGAGGAAAUUUUGUGGACGUCAUAUGAGCCAAAGCAUAAUGUUAUUGGAACAAUCCAUUGCCUUCCCCUUGAGCACCACUUGACAAGAAUUGUGACUGCGAUAAACAUACAAGCGCUCCCAAGUUACAAUACACAUAAAGGGUUUUCUCUGAAGAUAAUCACGACAAAGAACUAAUGAAAAGGUUGGAUGCAAUGGUACCUGAUCAAACUCCAAAUUCUGAUUGUUGACUUUAACAGAUACAACAGGAUAUCCUUGCUGCUUAGUCCAUGUGGUCAUUAACUUAUUCCAGGUUCACCAGAUCCUUCCUCAAGUGCAGCCCAUAGAUCUCAGUCUUAGCAUUUGAACAAGCAUGCUUUUUUAUAUAUGAAGCUAGUGACCUCUGGUUAGAUAAAAAAACAAUGUGGAAUUUUAUGUUUAUUUUAUUUCUUAAUCCCUCAAUUUAUGAAGUAUCUUUAUGGACUAUUUCCUAUAAAAAGAAUAUCGCUUUCAUUGGAAUAAACAUGUUCUGAAGUUACUGCAUACUUUACAAUAUAAAAGAAUUUGUAUAUCAUACAUUAAAAGAAAUUACAACAGAGAGUAAUCCUAGAGCAGAAAUAGUCAAGAUGCUAUUUCUUUGCCUAUAAACAUACAACAUGUCAACCCGAAUUACACUCAACACACACCUCAUAUUCCUCCCAUUUUCACAUGUAACCUUUCUCCUCUUCUCUAUCUAUAACCCUAUUACAGUAAUUAACAAUCAAAUCUUAGUAGUUGACAAGUAAUGUAUAAGGCUGUGAUAUAAUUGAAGUUAAAUACCUUGCCUUUUUCAUCUGAUCGGAUACAGCUCUGUAAGCAUACUUCCACCAAGACCUGGAAUCAGCUUUACUGGCACCAGUGGACGGAAAUGAGCAUACUUUAGACGUGAUUAAAUGUAGCGAAGUUGUCUGCUAAUUUCAUCAUAUCUCUGUAUCCAUCCUGCAAAGACAGAAAUGCCAAGAUUAUCCUCAAAAAUGAUGACAAUCACACAACAAAAUGACCAAAGAAGAACAACAAAUGAACCUUAGAUAAGCUGAUUGUAACAUAUCCAAAUUCACAACAGCCGUCUGCAAUGGUUGUUUGCUAUCAGCAACUUCACUCGAAUGCAGCUUUGAUACUUUGCUUUCCCAGUUACCGGCUGCAGAACAUAUGAGUGUUUUCGCGACAAGUAUCCGCUGGUUUCCCAUCUUUAGUUCCAAAAUUAAAUAUCUGAUUUUAAUGAGAAUCGACAUGAGAUACAAAAAAAAAUAGUGGCAGACUAAUAAUAAAAUGGAGGAAAACAAAGAAAAUUACAUGCCACUUCCAAAGAAGUCAAAUGACCAUUCCUUUCAGAGGCAAAAAAGCCUACUCUACUUAAAUAUUUGGAGUUCCAUUCAAACCAAAUAACUUUGGAGUUCACAUCGCUCGUGUUUAUUUACAAACUCUAAUAGCGCCAACACCCACUAUUCCACAAGCCUAGCACAUUUACUAUCACAGAUUCACAAUAGCCCUUCACUGCCCAGAGUACAGCACGUUAUGAAUACAUUCAGAUAUUUUGUGACAUAAAAGGAGUAUUUACUUUAUUAAAAAUUUAAGGGUUGAGCUAACAAGUUCCCUGAGGCCACUGCUAAGGUAUUCAUAAAAAUAAAUAGUCUUGAAAUACAAGUCAAACAUAUGUAGAAGUAAUAAAUACACACUUCCUAUGAGGAAGUUACCACUUUUGAUUACUUAAACAAUGCACUAAGGGCACUCAUUAGCAUUUUCCAAAAUUAAAAUAUCAAUAACAGCAAGAGUGCAGACCAUCAGCUGUAUGUGGCAGCGUGUUUGAUAAAUAUAAUUACCUGGAGUCAUGUGUUAUUCUACAAAUAAAAUAAGCCGUGACAUGAAGAACUCGCAUACCAUAUAUUAUAACAGUUUAGAAGCUUACCUCAUACAGAGAAAUACAGUAAUUAUGAUAGACAAUGGUGCAAAGAAGCAUAAACACAGUUCACACAGAGGGGGAAAAUGGGUAGCUUUCUAAAUAUAGAAAAAAGUUUGCAUAGACUAGUACCUGGAAAAACUUAUUCCAAAUGCUGGUCUUGCCAAGACUCAAAGGAUGUUCCCCGUGAGUGAUUUGUGAUCUAGAAAGCAUGCACCUGGUCUCACAUUUGACUUCGUCGGCAUCAUAAUCAGCCAGAGUCCCACAUCCUCCGUGAUUUCUGACUAACUAGCCACAAAAAUAUUUCAGACGGGGCUAAGUAGACAAAGAAAUAGAAUAUUGACUAGUUAGAAUAACCAACAAAAUCAACUAACUUACGAGAUUGAUAAGAAUGUCUUGUUUGAAACGUUGUAUUGUGACCCUUUCUUUGCCAAUUCAGAGGACAAAGGGCAUGAUCAGGUGGUAGAUAACCUAGCAGAAGCUGCAAAAAAAAUAUAAUAAAUAAUAUGCAAAUCUAUAUACAUUGAUUUUUGACUUUGGACCUAUUUGAAUUGGACUUAUUUGAGUUUAUCUAUCAUCACUGCCUAAAUACUUGUGAGGGUUAUACGAACAGUAUAUAACAAGUUCAUAAAUUGUUUUCAGCUUAUUUCCAUAAGCUCUUCAAAAGCUAAUGAAAAUAGUUUAUAUUUUAUAGGUUAUAUGAAACCAUUUAACUUUACUUGGUGUUAAGUUAUAAAAUAGCUUAUCCAUAAACACGUAUAUGAUAACAACCAUUAUGCUAUAAACACUUAAUUAAAUUGUUCAUCCAUCCAAGGCUUAAUUGAAAUUUCAAAGAAAAUGAAAAGAGUUACCUUCCAGACAGAUAGAACGUAAACCAGGAAAAUCAGGUAUCCCUUGAGAAGCAAUUCUCCUCAAUUCCCGCAUAUCUAUGACCUUCCUAGAUAACUAUUAGUAACAAAGAGUUAGCAAUAUCAUCAUAACUGAACAAUAACAACUAUAAGCUUUUUUAUUUCAGAGUAAGGAUGAUGGAGUGAAACGAAAGCUUACCUCGCGCUAACAAUUGGCCUGGCACUGGGCCGGCGAGAGAUGGACAUGUCAUCGGUGGAGGAAGUAGAAGCAGAGGAUGAAGAAAGAAAAGGGAGAUGAAGUGGCAAUACCAUUGUGAUUUGUACGAUGUUGAUUAAAGGAGGAUCUUCUUCGACGGUGACAGGGGGUGGAGAGGGGGUUCCGGUGGGUCAAAAGCGGCGGAAAGCGCGUUGUGUUCGGAGGGGAGGACCAGAUAGGACUGUUGAGCCAAUCGGGAACGCGUUUCUUCGCCAUAGUUCUAGGGUUUGUUUAUUUCGAUUCGAGGUAUGAAUAAUGAAAAGUGGUAGUUAGUUUAAGAGGAGUAGAUUUUAGAAAGAGGACGAGAACGCAAUAGCAUGCAUUUUACUGUGAAAUUAAAUGGAGAAGGGUUUGCUUACGGCUGUUGCUGCAAAUGGAGUGGGCCACUGUACACAUGGGCUGUGCAAAUGCCACCGCAACAUACACAAAUUCUAACCUCAACAUGAAAUCGCCGCUGCCGGAGUGGAUUUCGGCGCGAAGGAGACGGAGGGAGUACGGUGACCUUGAAGCAGGUUUUUGGUUUGAAUGGGGUAACACUGGACUUAGGUAAAUUAUCCUUUUCUUUUUUAAUGAAAGACUUUAAACAGCGCUUUCUCAAAAGCGCUGACUAAGGUCUAUAUUUAAAGCGCUUUCUUAAGCGCUGUCUAAGGUGUUGGGCAGCGCUUUCUAAAAGCGCUGUCUAAGACCCCACCUUAGACAGCGCUUUCAUUAUUUUUUUAGAACAGUUUCCGUGUUUUAUUUUUAUUUUAACCUUAGACAGCGCUUUCUUUUAAAAGCGCUGUCUAAGAUGCGCUGUUAAAAAACCUUUUUGGCGUAGUGGAUAACAACAAUUUUGAGACAUUAAUAAAAGAAAGUGGAGAAAAGGAAGAGAAUGGGGCGAGAUAGGGUAAGGAAGAAAGGAAAAUGGCUUGAUCAUCCUUGGAAACUCCUUGCAUGUGUGAAAUUCUUGAGAAAUUGAAGUGAAUCAUCAAUCCAUCCUCCUCCUCAUCAUCUUUUGAUAUUUUUAUAAUCAAGUUAAUGUCGCAAAAUAUUAAAGUUAAAUAUUUAAUGUAAUCGCAUAAUACCUUAUGCAAAAUAGUGGCAAAUUUGAAAUUAAGAAGAAAUUGUGUCACUACCACUAUUAUAAAAAAUACAUUUUAUUUCGACUGGAAAUAGGAUUUUACAUUGGUUUUAAAAACGAGGUAAUAAAAAAUGUUCACUUAAUCAUUAUUAAAAAUUUCUCUUUUAGUGAUCAUAUUUUCGGUCACAAAAGCAUAAAAGUCGGUCACUAUUUGAUUUAACUACCAAUAAAACGACAUUCUUUUUUCGGUUGGAAAUGUACUAAUCCCUAACUUGUUGUGAAGAAAUCUGCAACCAAUAUUUUGUGACCGAAAUAGUGGCUUCUUUUAGUGACCGAACACGUCAGUCACUGUUUCAGCCACUAAUUCCAGAAUUAAAAAUAAGAAUCCAUUCAAUGACAAUAAAAGCACAAUUUAAUCAUUUCCUUCAAACUGAAUUAUAAAAUAAUAACUAAAUGCAAUAUUUUUUUUAUUUAGCCACUUAACUACACCAUGAUUCUUACCUCCAAGUCUUGGCAUUUUAUAAAAUGUAACAAUUAAAAAUAAACAUGAAUCCCACAUUUAUAAAAUAUAAUAAUUAAAUAUAAAUAUGAAUGAUACAAUAGAUUACAUGUUAAUUUGUGAUUUUUGACACUGCACUAAAACCCAUUAAAUUUGGUUUGAAAGAGUCUCAGGAGCAUAUUCAUAAGAUUAUGAUCACUCUCUCUUCAAAACAUGUCCAAAAUCUCAAAAAGGGUUGUAGUGAAUUAACAUUUCGAUAUGAAGGUGUGAUGUAAAAGUGAUGAGUUGAACUCACUUUUCCGGUGUUUUGGGACUUAGUGUGUUUUAGGUCAAAGACUAAGCAAUUUAGAGACAUGCCGACACCACAUGAAGUUCGUUAGGGAAACCCCUCGACAAGGGUAGUUAAAGGCUUGAAGACGGUUUUUACAAUAAGAGAAGUUAGACACAGUUUAAAGACUAACACGUGGAAGCAUAUUGAAAAACAUAAGUCCGUGUAAUAUGAUAUGUGUUGAUUUCUAGGGUAGUAACCAUUAUCGACAGUUAUUGAUGUGUGUAGUAUAUAAGUUGAUUUCAUUCAUAUAGUAAAGAUUCACAAGUUUUACCAUUAUUCCCUAAAGAACUUGAGUAUCCAAGUCACAUAGAGAAAAUAGUUUGUGAGGAAACAUAUAUGAAUUCGCGUCCCUUUUAAAAUCUUGUACUCAAAGUAUUUUUGUUUAAGUUACUUUCAUUGUUUCUUUGUAUUAUUCUUAUCGGAAGUUCUUUACAGUUUCUUCAUAUUCAAACAUCAAUAUUCAAAGCAAAAACAUAUUUUCUCAAAUAUUUUGCACAAUAUGUCCUAGGACUUUUUUGAGUUUAAUCCUGUAAGUGAACGGAAACUUGUGAAAUUAUUGACCAAAAAUAAUGGUAAACACAUUUUCACGCCAAGUGGGACCAUUUUGUGCAAAAUUUAAAUUUUGUAGAAGUGUUUUAUGUUCUUACUAUCUAAUUUGUUCUUCAUACAUGAAAUGUUUUUAAUGUCUGAGUGUGUAUGCGUGUGAGGAGUGGCAAAACUCUUGUUGAAAUGGCAAGUCCAAAAAAUUCUUCCCUUCCCAUAACGAUUCUCCAGAGACUAGAGAACAAUCGAUCAAAAUGACGAUUGGUGGUGCGGGAACUUCAACUUCCGUUGGAGUAACCGCUCAUGUUAUAAGCUAAGACACAAACCAUUUGUCAUGCUGCGAAAAAUAUCUGAACGCAUCGUACGCUCAAAGAUACAACAAAGUCUCCAUUAAACUUUAUUUAUUCCCGAAGGAAAGGGAAAAUAUCGAUAAAACUCAGGGGAAAAUAAAAAGGGUAAGGAAGUCGAUUAUGCAAGAGAAAGGUAUUAUCACCCCUUACAUCCGUUGUACUCGACAGGAACCAUUUUGAUUGUUCUUUACGCUGAUGGCCGUUAUUAUCUAAAUGUUACUUGCGAAAGAGGAAAAAUAAGUUUAUAAUUAGUGUGUUUGCUGAGGAUUCGAACCAUCGUGUCUACGUAUUCUCAUAGUACAAUGAGAAAAUCAGGCUCCUUUGUUUGUGGUAGAAAAUACGGAUGUGUUGGUUGCUUUUAGGUAACAAUUAUAAUCGUAUCCUAGAAGUAUGUAGACGUUAGCUGAGUUGAUCCUAGUUUGGAUGCUUCAAGCUUUUAGUCUGACUGCUAAGGAACGAAUUAUAAAAAUUCUUUUAUGAAAAAAAAAUUAUUGUUUUGAAAAAAUAUUUAAGUGUCAAAAAGAAAAUAAAGAGUUUAUUGAACAGAAAAACAAACUUGCUUGAAUUGAAAGUGUUGUUUGAAUUGAAACAGUGUGCCUUAAACUUGACAACUUUAAACUUAUUACCACCUUCGUAAUAAUUUACAAAAAUAUCGCAUGCCUCCUUCACUGAUUCAACAUGAGAAAUUUAAUCGAAAUUCUCCGUAUCUACUGCAGAUUGAAUACAAAAUGCAACCUUGCAAUCUUUCUUCUUGGUAUCCUUGUGACUAACUCUUUGAGCGUCGUUUGCGUUGUGAGCAAGCUUAGGAACACCAUUAGUAACCACUUCUAGGUUUUCAUGAAAACCGAAUAAUGAUUGCACCUAUUUACUCCAUCGGUUGCAAUUUUUUCCAUUAAGAAUUGAAAGAGAAUUGAGAAUACUAUUAAUAUACCAUUCAUAUUUACAGCAAACACGAUUCACGAUCCCUGAAAACACGACCACCGAUGCACAGUUCUUGAAUUCACAAUCAAGAAGUGAGGAAGCAACCAGAGAGAGAAUAAAAAAUAAUUGCAUUGAAUUGUUAUAAUGAAAAUUAUCUACACUUAUAUUUAUAUAUAAUAGGCUACUUAUAACCUAAAUAGCUAACAUUAAAGUAAUCCACAACAAAUAACUAACUUGAAUUAUAUCACAUGACCUACCUAACUAAUUAGUUAAACUUGUUUUUUAUAAUGGCGCGUUUCAAUUCUCAUUCUUGGCAUUUUUUAUACAUAUUUUUCUAUAUUUAUAAAAUCAUGACCAAAAUAAAAAGUUGACUAUAACAAGUGAAGAACCGAAGUACACCACUAAUCUCUAAAAACUCGCCACGAAUGCCAAGGUCACUACAACUCAUCGGUAACUUCAUAAUAAUUAUUGAUUCUUAUAUUUAUAUAAAGAUAUACUUUUAAGAAUUUAAUUUGAUUUAUUUUUUAAACUAAGUCAUGUGUUAAAAGUCUACUUGGUCUAAUAUGUGUAUUUCAUAUCUUACGAUAUACCUAUGCUCUAAUAUGUGUAUCACUUGCUUCCAUAAGAUUAAGAAUUUAAUUUGAUUUAUUUUUUAAACUAAGUCAUGUGUUAAAAGUCUACUUGGUCUAAUAUGUGUAUUUCAUAUCUUACGAUAUACCUAUGCUCUAAUAUGUGUAUCACUUGCUUCCAUAAGAAACAGAAGUGAUUGAUUAAGCUUCAAGUUGAUUUCUUGAGAGUUUUAGAGGACAAAGUUUUAAAGGAUACGUUUAUGUAGUUAUAUAUUUGAAAUUAAAAAAAAAUAACAAUAUACUAUCUUAUCAUAUAAUAUCAAAUUAUUUGUUUAAUUUUAUUUUUUAAAUAUAGAUACAGUCACUCAAAAUCAUCUCAAAAUCAAUUCCAAAAUAGACUCUAAAGUUUUAAAAUAGCUUAAAAAUUUAGUCACCCAUUAAUAUAGUAAGCAAGUGGGAACUAAAUACUCUUUUUCUUCUAACGAAACAGUUGAAACCAUUUAUAUAUCCAACGCGUCAUUGCAUGGUUAAGAAGUUGUUCUUAAUUUAAAGCGUUCUCAUACUGAUUCUAAAGUUCUUAGUUAUUAUUUUUUUCUUAAAACUUGCCUUUGACAUUUAUUAUAUAAACCCUAUCUUCACUUCUUUUUCUCCACACCAAAUAACUUCAAGUUUUUUAAGUUUCUAGACAAAAGCACAAGAUGGCUUCAAGUUCUAGGGCUUUUCUUUUUGUGCUUCUUGGUGCUCUUGUUUGUAGUAGCAUUGAUGCAAGGAAGCUUGGGAGUGAUAAUGGUUUAAGGGAUGAGAAGAAUUUCUAUCAUCGUCCAGGGUUCGGCGGAGGUGCUGGCGCAGGAGGAGGUGGUGGUUUUGGUGGUGGUGGUGGUAGUGGAGGAGGGUUAGGUGGUGGUUCAGGAGGCGGAUUUGGUGCUGGUGGUGGUUCUGGCGGUGGACUUGGAGGUGGAGGAGGUUUUGGUGGUGGUGGCGGCGGUGGAUUUGGCGGAGGAGGUGGUGUUGGUGGAGGAUCAGGGUUUGGAGGAGGAUCAGGAUUUGGAGGUGGUGCCGGUGGUGGUAGUGGACUAGGAGGAGGUGGUGGAGGAGGGUUUGGAGGCGGUGGUGGUAGUGGAGGUGGACUUGGUGGUGCUGGAUCCGGUGGAGGAUUUGGUGGUGGAGCUGGUGGAGGAGUUGGAGGUGGAUUUCCAUGAAUAUAAAGAAGAAUAUUAAUGCUUUCUAUUUCGCACGUUUUUGUAUGAAUAAAUUGCUGAAGGCUUCUUACAUCAUUAGAGAGGGCGUGGCAUCACAUGAUAAAGAAUUAUAGAUAUUUUUUAAAUUACAUGUAUAUCAUAUUUUGUGUUUUGAAUAAUGGUGGUUUUUGACAAAAUAUGUGGAUGAGAGUUU
rnacentral:lncRNA from 1 species